rnacentral:rRNA from 1 species
UACGUAGGGUGCAAGCGUUGUCCGGAAUUAUUGGGCGUAAAGAGCUCGUAGGCGGUUUGUCGCGUCUGCUGUGAAAAUUCAGGGCUUAACUCUGAGCUUGCAGUGGGUACGGGCAGACUAGAGUGCGGUAGGGGAGACUGGAAUUCCUGGUGUAGCGGUGAAAUGCGCAGAUAUCAGGAGGAACACCGGUGGCGAAGGCGGCUUGCUGGGCCUUACCUGACGCUGAGGAGCGAAAGCGUGGGGAGCGAACAGG